AUCUAGUGUUACGGAGCGCACGGGUGCUACCGUGUUACGAAGGUACGGCAGCUGUUCGAUCGAUUUUGGACGGAUAGGAUCUAUCCGGCCGCCUCCACCCUUACAAAUUUAUUUUAAACACCCUGGAAGAAGUGAUCCCUUUCAAAGAGAGCCCUCAUCUAUGGUACAUUUACAAGGACAACCCUACAUUUGUUCACCUUCCCGUUGCAGAUCCUUCCCCCAAUUCGAGUUCCUUCUAUCUGCUUCUCUCCUCUCAGAACUCACGGCGACUGAACAGAAGCACCCAAGCAACAAAAACGAGCACUCACUGGGUUGGUAACACCUUCCAUGCCGUUCCACUAAAUACAUAUUGAUGACAUGGAUUUCGAAUCGAGAUCUCCGUCAGCAGCUGCUCUCGCUGAAGUACCGGAUCUUGAAGCUGCGCGGGUAGACCGGGACAUUGCUGCUGCGCCGAUGGAGUUCAGUGCUGAUUGGGACUUGACAGGCUUCAUCUCCUUUGAAGCAAAUGAAGGGUCUGUAGAACAUAUGGGAAGCGAACAUAUGGGAAGCCUUAUGCAGAGCAUUGGCUCAACAAAUGCAUCAGGGAAUGAGGAUGAUGCUACUAGCACAUUACCGGUAAUUACUUUGAGGAACUUCAACAAAUGCAUCAGGGAAUGAGGAUGAUGCUACUAGCACAUUACCGAGUGCAGCGAGCUCUGAAGAACAUGAAGGGGAUGGUUAUAAAACACCAGAGACGGGAAGUAAUCUGCCAUAUUGUGGGUCAAUAUAUGAGCCUGAAUGUGAUGCCAGCUUGCAGCCCUAUCUUGGCAUGGAGUUUGAUAGUUGGGAGCAAGGUGAGGUGUUCUACAAAAACUAUGCUCACCAUGUUGGUUUCUCGGUUUGGAAAGCACCACAUCAUAAAGGUGAUGGUGGUGUGCUAGUGUGGAAGCGUUUUUUUGCUCAAGGCAAGGUUGGAGGCAGGAAAAAGAAAAUGUAGAUGGACAAGGUAAGAAGCGUAAAAGGAAAAUCAAGCUUACCAGAUGUGGUUGCGAUGCCAUGAUUGGAUUUAUGAGAAAACCAGACGGCAAAUAUGUGGUUGCCCGGUUUGUAAAAGCACACACACAUGAACUUUCUUCUCCAAGCAAGACGCAUCUGCUUAGGUCAAAUAGAGAAGUGAGUGAUGAGGUGAGGAGCAAGCUAUUUGCAUGUCACAAGGCAAUGACUGGAACCUCUGUAGCAUAUCGACUUUUAAGUGUGGAGAUGGGGGGACAUGAAAACAUAGGAUGCACAAAGAAGGAUGCACAAAACUAUGAUCGAGAUUGCAAAAAGGCAUUUAGUCAUGGGGAUGAACAGAUUUUGAUUGAUAUCAUGAAAGACAAGCAAAGGCUCAAUCCAUCCUUUAUCUUUGAUUACAAAUUGGACAACAGAAAUAGGCUAACCCAUGUUUUUUGGGCAGAUGGAACUAGCAGGAAGAAUUAUUCAUUAUUUGGUGAUGUUAUCUCCUUCGACUCUACAUAUCGCUCAAACAGGUAUAACCUUGUAUUUACCCCUUUCACAGGAGUCAACCAUCAUAAGUCCUGUGUUACUUUUGGUGCUGCAUUUAUACCAAACGAAAAGAUUGAGUCGUACAAAUGGGUAUUCCGGACUUUCUUAAAGGCAAUGGGAGGGGUUGCACCUAAACUUAUUAUAACUGAUGAGGAUCUUAGCAUGAGGGCUGCUAUUAAAGAUAUUUUCCCAGACACUAGGCAUAGAUUGUGCAUGUGGCAUAUACUUAACAAACUCCCGGAAAGAGUUGGCCGGCCUUUAAUUGAAGAUGAUGUUUUCCUCUCUGAGUUUGUGUCAUGUGUGUGGGGUUCAGAGACUCCAAAUGAAUUUGAGGCAAGAUGGAUCUCAAUAAUUUCCAAGUAUGGUCUAAAGAACAAUUCAUGGCUGAGUGACAAAUAUCAGAUGCAUCAAUCAUGGAUCCUUGCUUAUUUCAUGGAUUUGUCUCUGGGCGGAAUACUUAGGACCACUUCAAGAUCUGAGAAUGAGAAUGCAUUUUUUAGACAUUUUCUGAACCGAUGACUCCGAUUGCUUGAGUCUGCUUUGAGACUGCUUUGGAGGAACAACGACAAUUGGAACUAUUGAAUGAUAAUGCCACACUUCAUUCACUGCCCAUGCUAGAAACACCAUGGGGCAUCGAGAGCCAUGCCAGGGAUGUUUACACACACACAAUAUUUAGCAUUUUCCAAGAUGAGGUGAUUUGUGCUAGGGAUAAGUGUGAUACACAAACCAUGGUUCAGGUUGGUGAUGAACGGAUAGCGAGAAUAAUGGAUGGCGGCGAAAAAAUUAGAGAGGUUCGCUAUAAUACCUGCACAAGGGUGGCACAAUGUUCCUGCAAGUUGUUUGAAUCCAUUGGCAUUCUCUGUUGUCAUAUCAUUCUUGUCCUAAAGGGUGCAGGCUGCAAUGAAAUCCCUGAGCAUUAUUUACUGUGUAGGUGGACCAAAACAGCCACCAAAAAUGCUGUUUUUGAUGCAAAUGGGAAUGUAAUUGAAGGAUCAUGCACAUCCCUUCCUCCGAACAUGAGGAGGUUAUGUUCUGAGACAUGGUCCAAGUUUAAAUCAGGAAUGCAGGCUGCCAAACAAUGUGAGGAGAAAAUGAAAUAUCUUCACAAGUGUAUUAGUGAUGCUGUUGAGCAAAUGUCAAAGAUGGGCCCAAACAGUGGAAAAAGUAAGGUUUCAGAGUUUGAAUCCUUUGUUGGAACACAAUUUCUAGUAGAAAUUAGUAUCCACCCACCUGAAGUGGUGCACACGAAGGGAAACGGGAGGAGAUUUAAGCGGGGUUCGGAGCAGUCAUCAACCAACCACAAAAGGAAGAGGUCAAGAAGCAUCAAGGAGGUUGUGCAGAAUUAGUUGUUGUAAAUUUUGUACCUUAUGGAUAUGGGCAAUGUGCUUUUACAAUCACUAUCUGCUGCUCUAGACCAACAACUUGAUGGACUUGCAUCAAGUAUCGUCAUGGCCAUCUUCAGAGAGUCCUUGAUUUGGUGUAUUUUGUAAUAUAUUAUCAACCAUCAACUUCUGUAGGUUAGGCUAUGAUGCCAACUCGUUGCACCUGUGUUAACUAUGAGUGUAAACAAUGUUUUUAAAUCGCCUAGUCGUCUGAUCGAACAAUGGGUGGACCAGACGACUAAUCGUGAUUAGUCGUCGACUAGGGUCGACUAGUCGGGUCUGAUCGACCCUAGGCGUCCACUAGUCGUCCAGGACAUUUAGGAUCCAUAUAUAUAUAUAUAUAUAUAUAUAUAUAUAUAUAUAUAUAUAUAUAUAUAUAUUAGCUU